CAGUCCCAUACCCUCGUGCAGCCCCGCACCCCCUUCAGCCCCUCGUCCUGUGCAGCCCCGCACCCUGUGCAGCUCCAAGACCACUACAGCCCGUUCCUCCCCGGGCCCCCGUUCAUCCCCGGGCCUCUGUUGAGCUCCGCACCCCCUCCAUCCCCGCCCCCCGCCGGCGGGCGCCGCGGUGCCGGCGGUGCAGGGGCAGCCGUGGGGGGGCGCCCCGGGGCCGGCGCACGGCAGUGCCUGGCGGGCCGGGGGCGACCGCAGCUAGUAGCGAGUGACAACACGGCCCAGGCACAAGGGGACAUUGUUCCUCGGGCAGGGUGGCCGGCGGGAGAGGCUAGAAGGGUCAGGGCGAGAGCGAGCGUGGUGACAGGUGCCUCUGCCACACUCACCCACCAGGGACAUAGAGUGGUUUGGGUAGGAAGGGACCUUAAAGCCCAUCCAGUUCUGACCCCCCUGCCAUGGGCAGGGACACCUCAAAGCCUCAUCCAACCUGGCCUUGAACACCUCCAAGGAUGGGGCAGCCACAGCUUCACUGGGCAACCGGUUCCAGUGCCUCAGCACCCUCAUAGGAAAACAUUUCUUCCCAAUAUCUCAAUCUCCCCUCUUUCAGCUUAAAACUGUUCCCCCUCAUCCUAUUCCUGUACUCCCUGAUAAAGAGCCCCUCCCAGCUUUCCUGUAUCCCCUUUUCAGUACUGGAAGCUGGUAUAAGGUCUCUCGAGCCUUCUCCAGGCUGAAGAACUUCAAGUCUCUCAGCCUGUCCUCGUACGGGAGGUGCUCCAGCCCUCUGAUCAUCUUCGUGGUCUUCUCUGGACUCUCUCCAGCAGAUUCACAUCUUUCCUGUGCUGAGGACUCCAGAACUGAACGCAGGACCCAAAGUGAGGUCUCACGAGAGCAGAGGGGCAGAAUCACCUCCCUCAAAGGUGGAGGAGGAGAGGAGGUGGAGAUUGCCACCUGUCAGCUCUCAUAGCGACAGCCCCAGCGGCCGUUAGUUCACUGCUAGAAUCCACUGCCACCCCUGGGCUGCUGCUGGGAGAGUGCUUAGCCCGGGCACAGUGUAGGCACAGAGGAGGCACUGACUGCCUGUGCCAAGAGCACGGACAGCAUUGUGUCUAUGCACUAUGCACAGCAGUGUGUUGCCUGGCAGAAAUGGUAAAUAUACUUUGUAAGCUGGCGGGGGGUCAUCACAGCCCUUGGGAAGCCACCUGGAAUCACAAAGCACAGGGACUCUGUGUGCACCUGCAGUAGUGGUUGGGACCCUUCACAAAUCGGUGUCACCAUCCCUGGGGAAUGCUGGCUGCCUUCAGCUACUGCCUGCUCCACUGGAUUAGAAGGAAGAGAGCAAACUGACUUGUUGCAGCUUCCUUAGUGGUGGUGGUGUUGACUGUUGCAUCCUGCCUGCCAGCCUAAACCCAUGCCAGAAGAUUGGAAAUAGCAGGUUGCAAGAUGUGGUUGAGAAAUCAAACUUUUGGGUUGUGGCAGGAGCCAUGUCCUUGCAUUAUGGAGUUGGACAGAGGAAAAUGACCCACUAGUAUGCUUUGUGUGGUAGAAUACAUAGGGGACUUUGUAAUACUUGUAGCUACAGUGGGUCUCAAAACUGCUUGGUGUCCAAACAGAGCAGAAGACUGUUCACCGGAGGCCGAGCCUGUACUUGUACAGGCGGCUCUUCAGAUGUUUCCUACUGUAUCUAGUAAGUGCAUUCUUCAGAGGCUGAAACUAACGUCCACAACAUGGACGCUGUGGAUAGCACAGUCAUGCAGGACUGUGAGGUGGAGACAGAUCCUGCGGGCUGGGCAGUGGCUAAGCAGUGACAGACCUCUAGGUCAAUGCUGCUCAGGGAGGCUGCUCAUAGGUGAGCUGCUGAAACACUCUCCUGUCACCAGCUCAGAGUUGACCUGUGAGCACUGGGUUCACACAGAGCCUCUGCGAACACUGGCCCAGCCUCUCCACUGCUUCUUUUGCAACUCUGAAUCAUCCUCAGAGACCUACAGUCUGAAAAACAUUCCCCUGCUCUGAGGCUCUCCUGGUGUUUGAUUAGAACAUGUGGAACUGACCUUGAGUGGCAGGUUUCAAAGGCAGCUAAAGAUCUGCUUGGGCAAGAAUGUAAGCAGCUGUUUUUGUUUUCUCCUUUUCUUUUUUACUUCCCCCCUCCCUCCCUGAUCUGUGAUAAAACGACUUGCAGUCCCCGAGAAGCCAGUGAUCCUCCUACUCCUGGAAUGUCCUAGAGAUGGGACCGAGCAUUGUGGCCAGGGCGACGGAAACAGCUUCUCAGUGCAUCCAAAUGUUCCUGGGUCCCCUGUGGAUGCCUGUAAAACAAAGAAAUCCUCGUUAUCAGAAGUCAGAGCUGCCCACAGCCAUUUCCUCAUUGGUUCCCUUCACCGGUGCCUCUUACGAAGCCAUUUCCCAAUGCAAAGUUGGAUGGUGGUUGAAUUCCUGGGUAUUUCCUCUUGACUUCAGGAUAAAGCAUCAUGAAAGAAGAACAGGAAUUAUUAUCUACCUGGAUUUUUUAAUGGACACAUGACAGACGGAUGAAGAGUUGGAUUAAAUACAUACAUGCAUUCAAACACAUUCCCUCUGCACACUGAAAUUUUGCUUGUUUCUCUUUAAGUAAGUGGACAGAUACUCUUUGUGUCUGAAUAUAUGGAAAUCUAAGGAAAGUUAAUGCAAAUACACAACCUGCUCUUUUGUUGCUCAGCGGUUUGGAAGAGUUUUGGAACCACUUAUGAGUUAGCUCACAAAAUAGAUGUAUUGAAAUACUCAGUACC